CAGAAGUCUGUAGUGGAUUGACAAAAUAUUUGUCAAAAAUUAUUAGGUUUUAGUCUAAAACCUCAAGACUUUAAACAUAAUAGUCUCAAGGUCUCUGGAUUUAUGGAUAUGAUUUCUCCAGUUAGCAAAGUCACAUAUAGCUUUAAAGAAGGUAGCUUGGUGGUUCCAUUAUCCGCGGAAUUUGAACCAUAUGACCGUUCAUCCCUUGGGUAGUUGGUUAUCAAAAAAGUUAGAUAUUAGGUAGUUGGUUAUUAAUUGUUGGAGCAUAAAUGAUUUCUUCCGAACUAUACCUAGAAUUUAGAUUGUUGAGUAUCAUUUUUCUUGUUCCAAUAUUUUCCCUUAAGGUAGAUGUACUCGUAUAUGGAUUUUUCAUUAUUAUUCGAGUCAUGUUCAAAAACAUCUUAGAUGUUUAUUUCUGUCAAAUUUUAAUCGAUGGACUGAAUGGAUUGAUUUUGAAAUUUUGGACAAGUGCGUCAUAUUCAUUUGAUGGUUAAUAAAGCAAUAUCGCUCGGUGAAAAUUCAUCAAUGGAGGAAUUUUACGAGUUUCGUGCAAUGGUGCAGGAUGAAGGAUCUAAUUGUUUGGCAUAUGUGCAAGAGGUAGAUUCAUGUUCAAGAAAAUUAUAGAAGAGAGGAGCUAAUGUCUGACCAUUCGCAUCCUCCUAUUCGUCGGUGAGGAAAAGGUGGUGUUGCGGGUAGGAAGGUACGUGCUGUUGAGAGAGGUCGAUCACCUAUUAAAAUGGAUGAAGAUGAUCAAACCACACAAGAUUCCCAAGCAAUCUCGAAUUAUGAACCAACAAAUAUUGAGAUUGUGACGUACAUGGCACCACAGACUCCACAAAUAUCAAGGAACCAAGUCUUUCAUCACUUGGAAAUGUAUUUGGUAGUAAUAAACCUCAACAUUUUGACAACGCCCCAAACUUUGUGGAUGGUGAUGAGUUAGAGGAUGCAAAUCAAGGUGCAAGCCAACGUGGUGAACCAUCGGUGAAGAAAAGGCGUACAAUCAUUCCAAAGCUUUGUGGGACUGAUUGGAAAGGAAGAGAAAGAAGAUAACUUGGAGCUCAUUUUUGAUUGAAAAAGUUUUGCUCAUCUUUGUUCUUCUUAUGUAAAAGUUAAGUCUAGUUUUUUGAAACUCCGGCAAGAAACUCCAUUUUUGUGGUUAAUAUUUUUUCACUAUACUUUGUAUGGUGUCAAGUAUUUUAGUAUUUGUAAUUUUAUGUAUUUUGUAAUGCUUACCAUGUUUGAGGUUGACAUAUUAACUAAUACCAAGUAGAUGCAGUUGACUAUUAAUCAAGAAAUUUGGUUACAUGUA